CCUACGGGUGACAGCAGUGGGGAAUAUUGCGCAAUGGGCGAAAGCCUGACGCAGCGACGCCGCGUGAGGGAUGAAGGUCUUCGGAUCGUAAACCUCUGUCAGCAGGGAAGAACGGUCACUGUGCUAAUCAGCAGUGAAUUGACGGUACCUGCAAAGGAAGCAUCGGCUAACUCCGUGCCAGCAGCCGCGGUAAUUCGGAGGGUGCGAGCGUUAAUCGGAAUUACUGGGCGUAAAGCGCUCGUAGGCGGUAUGUCAAGUCAAGGGUGAAAUCCCCGCGCUCAACGUGGGAACUGCCUUUGAAACUGGCAGACUGGAGUGUGUGAGAGGAUAGUGGAAUUCCAGGUGUAGGAGUGAAAUCCGUAGAUAUCUGGAGGAACAUCAGUGGCGGAGGCGACUAUCUGGCACAUAACUGACGCUGAGGAGCGAAAGCGUGGGUAGCAAACAGGAUUAGAUACCCGAGUAGUC
rnacentral:rRNA from 1 species